GAUGAACGCUGGCGGCGUGCCUAACACAUGCAAGUCGAACGGAGUGUUGAGAGCUUGCUUUUAACACUUAGUGGCGGACGGGUGAGUAAUGUAUGAGCAACCUGCCUUUCAGAGGGGGACAACAGUUGGAAACGACUGCUAAUACCGCAUAAAGUAUUUAGGAGGCAUCUCUUGAAUACCAAAGGAGCAAUCCGCUGAAAGAUGGGCUCAUAUCUGAUUAGCUAGUUGGUGAGGUAACGGCUCACCAAGGCUGCGAUCAGUAGCCGGACUGAGAGGUUGAACGGCACAUUGGGACUGAGAUACGGCCCAGACUCCUACGGAGGCAGCAGUGGGGAAUAUUGGGCAAUGGACGCAAGUCUGACCCAGCAACGCCGCGUGAAGG
rnacentral:rRNA from 1 species